CAAAUUCUUUUGUUUGUAUAUAUAGAUAUACAGUUUGCAUGGAGUGACCGCUUCUCAAGUCUUUUCAAUCAGUAUUCUUAACCAGGGAAUUAUUAUUAAUUAUAUU